rnacentral:piRNA from 1 species
UCCGUGAUUACUUUUCUGGAAAGGGAAGCA